UGCCAGACUCCUACGGGAGGCAGCAGUAGGGAAUUUUGCGCAAUGGGCGAAAGCCUGACGCAGCAACGCCGCGUGAUUGAUUAAGCCCUUCGGGGUGUAAAGAUCUGUCAGUGGGGACGAAACUUGACGGUACCCACAGAGGAAGCACCGGCUAACUACGUGCCAGCAGCCGCGGGAAUACGUAGGGGGCAAGCGUUAUCCGGAUUUACUGGGUGUAAAGGGAGCGUAGACGGCAGGGCAAGUCUGGAGUGAAAGGCAGGGGCCCAACCCCUGGACUGCUCUGGAAACUGUCCGGCUGGAGUGCAGGAGAGGUAAGGGGAAUUCCUAGUGUAGCGGUGAAAUGCGUAGAUAUUAGGAGGAACACCAGUGGCGAAGGCGGCUUACUGGACUGUAACUGACGUUGAGGCUCGAAAGCGUGGGGAGCAAACAGGAUUAGAUACCCCCGUAA
rnacentral:rRNA from 1 species